CUGAUAUUGGGUAUCUGACAACUUCUGUUUCUAAAAUGUGACAAAAUGUUUGGAUCGUUGAGCCAGCAUGCCCAACUCAGGAAAACUUUUGUGCCUUUUCCAGGAAAAGCUCUCCCAUUAGAGUUUGUGUGUGUGUGUGUGUGUGUGUGUGUGUGUGUGUGUGUGUAUGUCUCAGGGGAAGGGAGAAUAUGCAGAACCUGCUUCCAAGUGUGAGCUUUAGUCACAUUCUCUGAAAUCUUUCUGUGUGUUACCUUACAGCUCCACCAAGACAACUGAUCAAGAAGCCCCUGCAAACAGGAGGGGUGGGAGUCUCCAUGGAAACUCCACAGUUCCCAGAGUAAGGUAAAGAAACUUUGUCCAACCCUGAAGAACUUCAUAAAAACCUGUGAAUUUCUAUCAGUAUAUAUAUGGAAUCUACCUCUAUUUUCCAGCCUUUUUCUGGCUUCUCAACCAGAAAGGACCACAGUGAAUAAAAUAACAUUUACCUGGAGUUUCAUUCAUCAACAUUCUGUCCCCAAGAACCUCUUUACAUGUUGGGAAGAAGAGAAUAUUUUCCUCUUUAAUUAUAAGAUAACAUUCAUAUUCAUCUAAGGAAGGGUCUCAUCUCAAGCAAAACCUAAACAUAAGUUUCCCUGGAGUACUUAGUAUAAAGAGAGAGACAAACAUAUCAGCUAUCUGAUUAUGCAGGACCCACACUGGCCUGGCUGGUCAGUUUUGUUUAAUGUUAAAUAAGGCCACAGGCUCUGCAGAAAACUUCUCUGCAAGCUCAUCUAGCAGUCAAUGUCAUUUCCUGUAAUCUGGCAAAUCUUGAGAUAACCAGAACUUUC
rnacentral:lncRNA from 10 species